rnacentral:rRNA from 1 species
UACGAAGGGUGCAAGCGUUACUCGGAAUUACUGGGCGUAAAGCGCGUGUAGGCGGUUUUGCAAGUCGGGUGUGAAAGCCCUCAGCUCAACUGAGGAAGUGCGCCCCGAAACUGCAGAUCUUGAGUACCGGAGAGGGUGGCGGAAUUCCCCAAGUAGAGGUGAAAUUCGUAGAUAUGGGGGAGGAACACCGGUGGCGAAGGCGGCCACCUGGACGGAUACUGACGCUGAGACGCGAAAGCGUGGGUAGCAAACAGG